rnacentral:rRNA from 1 species
CCUACGGGAGGCAGCAGUGGGGAAUAUUGGACAAUGGGGGCAACCCUGAUCCAGCCAUGCCGCGUGUGUGAAGAAGGCCCUCGGGUUGUAAAGCACUUUCAGUGAGGAAGAACGCCUGGUGGUUAAUACCCAUCAGGAAAGACAUCACUCACAGAAGAAGCACCGGCUAACUCCGUGCCAGCAGCCGCGGUAAUACGGAGGGUGCGAGCGUUAAUCGGAAUUACUGGGCGUAAAGCGCGCGUAGGUGGCUUGAUAAGCCGGUUGUGAAAGCCCCGGGCUCAACCUGGGAACGGCAUCCGGAACUGUCAAGCUAGAGUGCAGGAGAGGAAGGUAGAAUUCCCGGUGUAGCGGUGAAAUGCGUAGAGAUCGGGAGGAAUACCAGUGGCGAAGGCGGCCUUCUGGACUGACACCGACACUGAGGUGCGAAAGCGUGGGUAGCAAACAGGAUUAGAUACCCCUGUAGUC